rnacentral:rRNA from 1 species
GACGAACGCUGGCGGCGUGCUUAACACAUGCAAGUCGAACGAUGAACCGGAGCUUGCUCUGGGGAUUAGUGGCGAACGGGUGAGUAACACGUGGGCAACCUGCCCCAGACACCGGGAUAACCAUUCGAAAGGAUGGCUAAUACCGGAUACGACCACUUCGGGCAUCCGAUGGUGGUGGAAAGGAUUCUGGUCUGGGAUGGGCCCGCGGCCUAUCAGCUUGUUGGUGGGGUAAUGGCCUACCAAGGCGACGACGGGUAGCCGGCCUGAGAGGGCAACCGGCCACACGGGGACUGAGACACGGCCCAGACUCCUACGGGAGGCAGCAGUGGGGAAUAUUGCGCAAUGGGCGAAAGCCUGACGCAGCGACGCCGCGUGAGGGACGAAGGUCUUCGGAUUGUAAACCUCUUUCAGCAGGGAUGAAGCGAAAGUGACAGUACCUGCAGAAGAAGCACCGGCUAACUACGUGCCAGCCGCCGCCGUAACAC